GUGUUUUUAAAAGAAAAUUCAGAAACUAGGGGUUAUAACGUAAUUAAAAAAAAUUACACCAUGUAGGACCGCCCAAUCAGCAACCUCGACGAACCAAAAUGCACCGCGUGGCAAGACACGCUGACUCAGUGCCCACAGGAGGCCAUGCUGGUGAUCUGUGUGCCCCGCGAUCGGAUGGCCCGGAAGCGUUCCCACGUGCGUGGACGAUCCGGAUUCAUUCUCUCCUCAGGUGCAAACAGACAGCCGCUAUUAAAUGUGAAGGAUAGCCCAACUUUGUUUCCUCUUUAAACACGAUCGUACGGUCGAGAUCAAAUCGCGAUGAACAGUCUAGAUUUAUUUCUUCUUUAAACACGAUCAGACAGUCGAGAUCAAAUGCGAUAAACGACC
rnacentral:lncRNA from 1 species